AUUGAACGCUGGCGGCAGGCCUAACACAUGCAAGUCGAGCGGAGCGGCGGACGGGGGCGUAAUGUCUAGGCAUCGGCCUGGCCGUGGGGGAUAACGUCAGGAAACGGGCGCUAAUACCGCAUACUUUUCGAUCAGCUACGGUGGGAUUAGCUUGGUGGUGGGGUAAAGGCCUACCAAGGCGACGAUCCGUAUCUGGUCUGAGAGGAUGAUCAGUCACACUGGAACUGAGACACGGUCCAGACUCCUACGGGAGGCAGCAGUGGGGAAUAUUGGACAAUGGGCGAAAGCCUGAUCCAGCCAUGCCGCGUGUAUGAAGAAGGUCUUCGGAUUGUAAAGCACUUUAAGUUGGGAGGCGUUACCAGCAGAAGAAGCACCGGCUAACUUCGUGCCAGCAGCCGCGGUAAUUC
rnacentral:rRNA from 1 species